CAAGACCGCGUGGGGGAGGAAAGCCUUUGGGUUGUAAACCCCUUUUCUCAGGGAAGAAGAAAGUGACGGUACCUGAGGAAUCAGCCUCGGCUAACUCCGUGCCAGCAGCCGCGGUAAUACGGAGGAGGCAAGCGUUAUCCGGAAUGAUUGGGCGUAAAGCGUUCGUAGGUGGCAAUUCAAGUCUGCUGUCAAAGACAGUAGCUCAACUACUGCAAGGCAGUGGAAACUGAAUAGCUAGAGUGCGGUAGGGGCAGAGGGAAUUCCCGGUGUAGCGGUGAAAUGCGUAGAGAUCGGGAAGAACACCGGUGGCGAAAGCGCUCUGCUGGGCCGCAACUGACACUGAGGGACGAAAGCUAGGGGAGCGAAUGGGAUUAGAUACCCCAGUAGUC
rnacentral:rRNA from 1 species